AUGCUAUUUAGCCAUGCCCUUUCCCAGGACCAAACUCUGCCACUUUGUUCGGUUCUGCCCCCCUUUUGCUCGCCUUACCCCUUGGUUCCACCCUUCUUCACUCCCCUCCUCACUUGCACCAACACUAAUAAGCACUCUCACUUCCCUGUGACCUCUCUCCAUUCUCCUCACUCCACAGCCAUGGCGUCUGCUGAAGAAGGCGCACAGCCGCUCAUGUAUCAGACUGUGGCUCUGAAGGUCAGCAUCCACUGUGAGGGCUGCAAGAAGAAGGUCAAGAAGGUGCUACAGACCAUAGAAGGUGUGUACAAGACGGACAUAGACACCCAGCAGCACAAGGUAGUGGUCGUUGGCAAUGUCUCCGUCGACGCGCUCGUCAAGAAGCUCAUCAAGACCGGCAAGCACGCCGAGCCGUGGCCGGAGCCCCUUCCUCCCCCCUCUGACGCUAACCCGCCUGCCAGCGGAGGCGGCGGUGAUGGUGGCGGUGGCGGCAAGAAGAAGAAGAAAAAGAAGAACAAAAACAAGACCGCCGAGCCGGCGGCGCCGGGUGCCCCGACGGCGGAAGGCGCUGGAGGCUCUGUUCCCCCGAAGAAUCACGACCACACGGGCACGUGCGAUGAGGCGUCCGGCCACGAGCAGCCUCAUCAGGUUGAAGGCGGCGGUGGUGGAGGCGGCGACCCACCGAAGAACCCGGGUGCCGGAGAUCCGCACGACGGACGGGCCGGCAUGGUCGCCCCUUUCGCCAUGACGCCGCAAGGCAUGCAGCCUAUGGCACCCAGCGCCAAUGCCUCCGGUGGCGGCGGUGGCGGCAAGAAGAAAAAGAAGGGCAAGGGAGGCAAUAACGGCAAUGCCAAUGCCAACGGCGGAGACGGUGCAACAGCGCAGAUGAGCCCACACGACGCGCCCGCGAAUCCCGCCAUAGGAAACGCCGGUCAGAACGCCCCCGCCGUCGUCGACGCCGGGGCCUACCCGCCCGCCACCGCGAUGAGCUACCCGGGCUACUACGGCAGCGGCGCCGGUGCAGGGCACAUGCCGCCACCGUACGCCAUGAGCUACAGCACCUCGCACCCGCACCGGAGCAGCGCGUACUACCACCCCAUGGCCGGCGCGGCCUACACGGGCGGCGCGGGGUACUACUACUCAACGGCACCGGUGUCGGCGGCGCCGGGGUCGUAUUACAUGUUCAGCGAGGAGAAUGCCAACGCAUGCAGCGUUAUGUGA
rnacentral:rRNA from 1 species